GUUCUUGAAGCUUAGUUACUUAGAGCACCCGUUUAGUAAGCAGGAGGUCUUCAGUUCAACUCUCAACAAGAGCA
rnacentral:tRNA from 1 species